rnacentral:rRNA from 1 species
CCUACGGGUGGCUGCAGUUAGGAAUCUUCCACAAUGGACGAAAGUCUGAUGGAGCAACGCCGCGUGCAGGAUGACGGCCUUCGGGUUGUAAACUGCUUUUAUAUGGGAAGAUUAUGACGGUACCAUAUGAAUAAGGACCGGCUAACUACGUGCCAGCAGCCGCGGUAAUACGUAGGGUCCAAGCGUUAUCCGGAAUCACUGGGCGUAAAGCGUGCGUAGGCGGCGUGUUAAGUGAGGUGUUAAAUCGUGUGGCUCAACCAUAUCGAUGCAUUUCAUACUGGCACGCUAGAGGAAGGCAGAGGCAAGUGGAAUUGGCAGUGUAGCAGUGAAAUGCGUAGAGAUUGCCAGGAACACCAAUGGCGAAGGCAGCUUGCUGGGCCUUUUCUGACGCUGAGGUACGAAAGCGUGGGGAGCGAACAGGAUUAGAUACCCUGGUAGUC